rnacentral:lncRNA from 1 species
CUUUUAUAUAGGGGCGCCCGGACCCCAGAGCAGGGCUAGUCCCUUAACCCAUUCCGCCAUCUAGCGUCCGCAGGGGCUCAUGGCAGGUUGGAGCCGGACAGUCUGGAAACUGCAAUCUAGAUUUUGCAGAAGGGUGACCUUUAGCCUUCUGCAAAACCUAGAUCUCACUUAAUGUAGAUCUCACUGAAGAAGGCAAAUAAAAAAAAAAGAGAUCAAAUGGCAAUGUUGAGGCUGGACUGGGGGAGGUAGGAAGCUUG